rnacentral:lncRNA from 1 species
UGGUGAAUCUCUCGUUGGUUUAACCAACUGAAAGUGAAAGUGGCAGUUAAAUUUGUCCAAACCUUUUGAAUGUUUAUCGGAAGCCAAACAUUGGCACUUUCAGUAGUCCCUGGAAAAUGACCUUCGUUGUCUUCCUCUCACCUGCUGCCUCUCUCCAGCUCAUAAGCAUUCACACGUUUAUCUCACUAUUUGCAUGCUGAUAAUAGACAUAGAUUUUGUUAGUCCUGCAUCUGUCGAGACGGCGGGGACAAUAAUAGAAGCACCGUCGGGACCAAUAUAUAUUGGUCUUAGGAGUGUGUCCAAUCAUGUCUGGGUCAGGGAGCCUUUAACUGCAGUGUCAGGGAAUUUAGUCAGCUGUCAUCGCUUCUUAAUUAAAAAUAGCUGAGACUCACUUGCAUUCCGUUGCUAUGUGUUAGCUCAUUUGUCAUCUUGUCCUCUGCUCUCCAGCAACCCCCCUGAACACCCUCAAAAAGGGGCAGCGGAUAGAAAUGCAGCAGAUCUCCUUUUGGCAGCUGGAUGAGAAGGGCAUGCCACCAUAAAGGAGGGAUCACUGAAACGAGGUUAAAGUUGUAUUCAAAAGCAACACCAGUGCUGUACGUUGCACGUAUCACCACUAUUGAGGGUCAAUACCUCUUCCCUGGAGUCACUGUCAGAGUUCUAGAACUGCAUUUGGGGAAAUCAAGAACUGAAUACGUUCCUUUUUUAUUUCUGCUCAUUUUCAGGGGGCAAGUUUUGCAGCUGUACUGAAAUAGCAUGUUAGCAGCCGUAGCGGAUGAUGCAUUCUCCUGUUGGUGUGGCCAGCAGCAGCAGAAGUGAAUUUUCUGGACUUUUGCUUGUGGUUCCAAAGGCUUUUCUCUAGGUGACCGUUCACCCAAAGGUGGGUGAUCCCUUUCCUUCAGUGCCUCUACACUGCCAGCCUUUCAGCGUUUCCCGAGUUGCUGCUGACGUACUUCAAGCUGGGGCUGGGUGACGUGGCAAAUCAUAGAGGUAUCACUAGCAGCACAGCCACGGAUUGAGGUGACCUAGAUUUAGAAAAUGGAGAUCAGAUAAAAUGCUCACUGUGCUCUGUUCUAAGGAGACACGCAGCCAAGAAGCUGAAGUGGAGGAACAAUUUCUCUCUUGAGUUGUUUGAAACAGAAAGAGGCUCAGUCCUUUUCUCCCCGACCUUAAGUGGCUCCGUGACAUGUGCUAGGCUGUGACCUCAUUUGUUUCACCUGUCCUUUCUCUCCCUGUAGUCUCAGGCCCACGGAGAGAUGGACAAGGGGCCAUGAGGGCUUCCCCCCCUCUCCCAAAUAAGAGAGGCAGCUUUCAGAUGAAAAAUCAGUCUGCUUCAUAUUAACCCUCCUUGCUUUGGUUCUGAACGUGAAGAGACAUGUUUCUUACCCCUCCUCCCUUCCCUCCCAAGCCGUCAAUCUUGCUGGGAGAAUCAACCCAUCUCACCUCAUUGUCUGGUUAGUUCUGUGUUGAAGGGGAAUGGGACUGCAGCAUUUGUACGCAUUCUAAAAAGAAAUCUUCUGGACUGUAGAAAUUCUCCCUUUU